GCUUACCAUGCAAGUCGAACGAUGAAGCCCAUGCUUGCAGGGUGGAUUAGUGGCGAACGGGUGAGUAACACGUGAGUAACCUGCCCCUGACUCUGGGAUAAGCCCGGGAAACUGGGUCUAAUACCGGAUAUGACUUCCUACUGCAUGGUGGGUUGUUGAAAGAUUUAUCGGUGGGGGAUGGACUCGCGGCCUAUCAGCUUGUUGGUGAGGUAAUGGCUCACCAAGGCGACGACGGGUAGCCGGCCUGAGAGGGUGACCGGCCACACUGGGACUGAGACACGGCCCAGACUCCUACGGGAGGCAGCAGUGGGGAAUAUUGCACAAUGGGCGGAAGCCUGAUGCAGCGACGCCGCGUGAGGGAUGACGGCCUUCGGGUUGUAAACCUCUUUCAGUAGGGAAGAAGCGAAAGUGACGGUACCUGCAGAAGAAGCGCCGGCUAACUACGUGCCAGCAGCCGCGGUAAUACGUAGGGCGCAAGCGUUAUCCGGAUUUAUUGGGCGUAAAGAGCUCGUAGGCGGUUUGUCGCGUCUGCCGUGAAAGUCCGAGGCUCAACCUCGGAUCUGCGGUGGGUACGGGCAGACUAGAGUGAUGUAGGGGAGACUGGAAUUCCUGGUGUAGCGGUGAAAUGCGCAGAUAUCAGGAGGAACACCGAUGGCGAAGGCAGGUCUCUGGGCAUUUACUGACGCUGAGGAGCGAAAGCAUGGGGAGCGAACAGGAUUAGAUACCCUGGUAGUCCAUGCCGUAAACGUUGGGCACUAGGUGUGGGGGACAUUCCACGUUUUCCGCGCCGUAGCUAACGCAUUAAGUGCCCCGCCUGGGGAGUACGGCCGCAAGGCUAAAACUCAAAGGAAUUGACGGGGGCCCGCACAAGCGGCGGAGCAUGCGGAUUAAUUCGAUGCAACGCGAAGAACCUUACCAAGGCUUGACAUGUGCCAGACCGCUCCAGAGAUGGGGUUUCUCUUCGGGCUGGUUCACAGGUGGUGCAUGGUUGUCGUCAGCUCGUGUCGUGAGAUGUUGGGUUAAGUCCCGCAACGAG
rnacentral:rRNA from 2 species